AAACCCUGUUUCAGUUUUAUCAUUGGAAUUCUCCAGAAGCAGUCAGACAAUCUAAAAUCUUCACCCUAUAGAAUCCUUUGUAUACAGUAAGUUUACUGUUGUCAGUGGGAUUCCAUGGGAAUGGGAUUGGGAUUGUGCUGUUCAGUUUUGUAGCCAGUGUUUUACCCAAGUGUGUUGUGGCCUCUUCUAAUCAUGUUAAUAGCCCCAGAAAUGCCAAAAGAGUGGCGAAGUAACAGAGGUAAAUUGGCUGUCAUUUUAUGCUAUGUCUUCCAUUUCUUACUUUGCUUCUGAUGCAAAUUAUAGAAGUAAUUGUGAAGCAAUUGGACCUCAGAAAGUUGAGUUAAGAUUGCUAGGCAACCUGUUAGUAACGUUUCAUUUUUCCAUUACGUGGUCUCUUUCCUAGUUCAGUGUGGCAGAUGCUUUUCCCUCUUGCUUCUAACCUAAAAAUUUUGUUU
rnacentral:lncRNA from 1 species